AUACGGAAGAUCCAAGCGUUAUCCGGAUUUAUGGGUUUAAAGGGAGCGUAGGCGGAAGUUCAAGUCAGUUGUGAAAGUCUGUGGCUUAACCAUAGAAUUGCAGUUGAAACUGAAUUUCUUGAGUGUAGAUAAGGAUGGUGGAAUUUGUGGUGUAGCGGUGAAAUGCAUAGAUAUCACGAAGAACUCCAAUUGCGAAGGCAGCCAACCGGGCUACAACUGACGCUGAGGCUCGAAAGCGUGGGGAGC
rnacentral:rRNA from 1 species